CUAUGUUGUGUGAAUAAUACUCUAUGAAUGUUUUCUUUCUUACUGGGAAGAUGAUACUUGGCGUCCUGAUCAGGAGAUUGAGUCAGUGUCAUCUUUGGAGGAGGAUUAAUCCAGACUACGAUGCCACCUGUGCACACAGCUUGGACCAUGGACGCAGGGCCUGGACUACAACCACAGACCAGCCAAAAGGAAGGAUGAUGGCAGUUCUGUACGGCAAGUUGUACAGGAAGAUGUCCAGGACCUGGAGGUUAUACACACUGAAGGUUGUCUGCCACGGUCCAGAGCAACGAGGCCAGACGAUCCCCGUCAACAUGGGGUUCUGUCAGGUGUCCCUCCCCCAACCACCCAGGAACUAGAGAAGCAAGUCAGCAGAGGACCAGGACCACUGCCUAAGAGUCGAUGACAGCACAGCCUGACCCGUCAGCCGACAAAUCUGCUUUAACACUAAAGAGCUAGGAAACCCUGUGCAG